AAAAUAUCCCAAAAAACUUCACUCUUCAAAACACAAAAAAAAAUAAAAGGGUGGCAAACCUUUUUCUGCUAGGAAUGUUGUAAUCAAUGUUUUAAGAACAUUUUGUCUGUCAGUAAUAUUAUGUUAAAAAGUACCAAUAAAAAAUAUGUUGGGAUGAUCAAGGAUUACAAACAUACAUUCCUGAAUUUGUCCGGCGAGCUACCGAGUAGAAUUUGGUGGGCUGCGUACAAAUUGCAACAGCUGAAAAAAUUUGAAUACCCCGAACUCUGAAAGAUGAAUAAUAAUAAAUUAUAAAUAUAAUGUGUUACUGAAAAUUGGCUCAUUAACUAUUUUAGCUUGCAAGAACAUCAACAUUUUAUAAGACAACUGAACUUCCUCCCUACCCACUACAUCAUAUUUAUUUUUGUUCUGUGUUCCUAUUUAUCAUAGGAUAUUCUGUUAAUAUUGGGCAUGUAUUUUGUUAGUUUUAAUGAAAAACAAGCAUCAAUAGCCACUAGAUUCAUUCAUCAAUGUAUUCCUCUAUUUUUAUUUAAUGCAUUCAUCAUAAAAAAUAGGCUUUCACACUGAAUUAAUGUAAAAUGUACCUUUACAUACAAAAUAUGAGAAAGUGUUCUAAACUUUCAACGUUUUAUAUCAAGUACCUACCCAACUAUAUAUUAUUCAGAAAUAAUAAAGGAUUGUUUUAAC